CCUACGGGAGGCAGCAGUAAGGAAUAUUGGUCAAUGGGCGGAAGCCUGAACCAGCCAUGCCGCGUGCAGGAAGACGGCCCUACGGGUUGUAAACUGCUUUUGUACCGGAAUAAACCUUGAUUCGUGAAUCAAGCUGAAUGUACGGUAAGAAUAAGGAUCGGCUAACUCCGUGCCAGCAGCCGCGGUAAUACGGAGGAUCCAAGCGUUAUCCGGAUUUAUUGGGUUUAAAGGGUGCGUAGGUGGCUUAUUAAGUCAGGGGUGAAAGACGGUAGCUUAACUAUCGCAGUGCCUUUGAUACUGAUGAGCUUGAAUGAACUAGAGGUAGGCGGAAUGUGACAAGUAGCGGUGAAAUGCAUAGAUAUGUCACAGAACACCAAUUGCGAAGGCAGCUUACUAUGGUUUGAUUGACACUGAGGCACGAAAGCGUGGGGAUCAAACAGGAUUAGAUACCCUGGUAGUCCACGCCCUAAACGAUGAAUACUCGAUGUUGGCGAUAUACGGUCAGCGUCUAAGCGAAAGCGUUAAGUAUUCCACCUGGGGAGUACGCCGCAAGGGUGAAACGUUAAAUGAAUUGACGG
rnacentral:rRNA from 1 species